AGUGAACGCUGGCGGUAGGCCUAACACAUGCAAGUCGAACGGCAGCACAGUAAGAGCUUGCUCUUACGGGUGGCGAGUGGCGGACGGGUGAGGAAUACAUCGGAAUCUACUUUUUCGUGGGGGAUAACGUAGGGAAACUUACGCUAAUACCGCAUACGACCUACGGGUGAAAGCAGGGGAUCUUCGGACCUUGCGCGAUUGAAUGAGCCGAUGUCGGAUUAGCUAGUUGGCGGGGUAAAGGCCCACCAAGGCGACGAUCCGUAGCUGGUCUGAGAGGAUGAUCGCCCAACCGGAAACUGAGACACGUCCCAGCCCCCAAGGGGAGGCAGCAGGGGGAAUAAUUGGAAAAGGGGGGAAAGCUUGUCCCAGCCAUCCCGGGUGGGUGAAGAAGGCUUCCGGGUUGUAAAGCCCUUUUUUGGGGAAAGAAAAGAAGAAGGUUAAUACCCGGUUGUUUGGCGGGUACCAAAAGAAUAAGAACGGCUUACCUUCGG
rnacentral:rRNA from 1 species